CGGAGGAAAGAAACCAACAGGGAUUGCCUCAGUAACGGCGAGUGAAGCGGCAAAAGCUCAAAUUUGAAAUCCCCCGGGAAUUGUAAUUUGAAGAGAUUUGGGUCCGGCCGGCAGGGGUUAAGUCCACUGGAAAGUGGCGCCACAGAGGGUGACAGCCCCGUGAACCCCCUCAACGCCCUCAUCCCAGAUCUCCAAGAGUCGAGUUGUUUGGGAAUGCAGCUCUAAGUGGGUGGUAAAUUCCAUCUAAAGCUAAAUACCGGCGAGAGACCGAUAGCGAACAAGUACAGUGAUGGAAAGAUGAAAAGCACUUUGAAAAGAGAGUGAAAAAGUACGUGAAAUUGUUGAAAGGGAAGGGCUUGCAAGCAGACACUUAACUGGGCCAGCAUCGGGGCGGCGGGGAGCAAAACCACCGGGGAAUGUACCUUUCGAGGAUUAUAACCCCGGCCCUUACUCCCAUAUCGCCCCGAGGCCUGCAAUCUAAGGAUGCUGGCGUAAUGGUUGCAAGUCGCCCGUCUA
rnacentral:rRNA from 2 species